AUUGAACGCUGGCGGCAGGCCUAACACAUGCAAGUCGAGCGGAUGACGGGAGCUUGCUCCUUGAUUCAGCGGCGGACGGGUGAGUAAUGCCUAGGAAUCUGCCUGGUAGUGGGGGACAACGUUUCGAAAGGAACGCUAAUACCGCACACGUCCUACGGGAGAAAGCAGGGGACCUUCGGGCCUUGCGCUAUCAGAUGAGCCUAGGUCGGAUUAGCUAGUUGGUGAGGUAAUGGCUCACCAAGGCGACGAUCCGUAACUGGUCUGAGAGGAUGAUCAGUCACACUAGAACUGAGACACGGUCCAGACUCCUACGGGAGGCAGCAGUGGGGAAUAUUGGACAAUGGGCGAAAGCCUGAUCCAGCCAUGCCGCGUGUGUGAAGAAGGUCUUCGGAUUGUAAAGCACUUUAAGUUGGGAGGAAGGGCAGUAAGUUAAUACCUUGCUGUUUUGACGUUACCGACAGAAUAAGCACCGGCUAACUCUGUGCCAGCCGCCGCAGUAAAAC
rnacentral:rRNA from 1 species